GUGGGGAAUUUUGGACAAUGGGCGCAAGCCUGAUCCAGCAAUGCCGCGUGCAGGAAGAAGGCCUUCGGGUUGUAAACUGCUUUUGUACGGAACGAAACGGUCCGGGUUAAUACCCUGGGCUAAUGACGGUACCGUAAGAAUAAGCACCGGCUAACUACGUGCCAGCAGCCGCGGUAAUACGUAGGGUGCAAGCGUUAAUCGGAAUUACUGGGCGUAAAGCGUGCGCAGGCGGUUGUGUAAGACAGGCGUGAAAGCCCCGGGCUCAACCUGGGAAUUGCGCUUGUGACUGCAAGGCUGGAGUGCGGCAGAGGGGGAUGGAAUUCCGCGUGUAGCAGUGAAAUGCGUAGAUAUGCGGAGGAACACCGAUGGCGAAGGCAAUCCCCUGGGCCUGUACUGACGCUCAUGCACGAAAGCGUGGGGAGCAAACAGGAUUAGAAACCCCUGUAGUCC
rnacentral:rRNA from 1 species